GAGCCUCAGGAGUGGCAAUGCCAGAUCCUUAACCCACUGAGCCUCCAGGGAACUCCUGGAAAAGUCAUUCUUUAGCUUAUGGGCUGUACGAAAACAGACAGCAGGUCAGAUUUGGCCCACAGGUUGUGGUUUACUAACCCUUAAUUCUAAUGCAUCAGAAAAGGCCCACUUCCUGUUUUCAGUGGGAGUAAAUGUAGAUCUUGCGUGGGCAUUUUGGGUCUCUUUAUAGCCAGGGGAGAUGCGGUGACACACACACAGGUCCAUCCAACACAUGGCCACUGUUUGUACAUCAGGGUGGGAGGGGUGCUGUCUCCAGGCUGCCACGGUACCUGAAGAUAUACUUUUAGGAAUGUUGCUGCCUCUAGAUAAGAGAAAGGUGCUUACUGUCAGGGACAUGAAGCUGAGUUAUCUUUCUGAGUCCUGCACCCACCAUGACACUAGUGCAUUUUAGGUCAAGCUGAGAGACCAUAUAUUAGUGUGAACCUGGGAGAAAGACAGCAGCCAGGAAAGAUCACGAGCGGUCAAGGAAAGGAUUUCUAAUGUUAGCUCUUGAAUGUUUUCAUUUUUUUUAGUGUAUUUAUCAGGCUCUUUCACACACACAUUAGUUGACUUAUUCCUUAAAACCCCAUACAGUAUCAUUGACUUUGCCAAGGAGACUACAGUCUGGAGAGCUGUAGGGUUUGCUUCUGGUCCCAUGGCCUUCACUUGGCAGGGCCAAGACUCAGGUACAGGGAUUUUAUCCAAAGUUUAUUUGUUCUUUCAUUCAGCAAACCAGUUUGGAGGGCACCAAAGGUCAGGCGAUGUGCUGGGCAGGAGAAAUUUGAAGGUGAAUAAGACCUGGUUCUUGUCCUGUGGGGAUGCCAUGUAGCUGGGUUUCUCGAGCCUGCGGUCACAUCACCUUCCCUGGCAGUUCUCUACAGUGACAGUUCUUAGGCCCAGUUUCCAGGCUACAUCUGGAUCUGCAGUCGGGGCAAACACCCUAUGGGACAAACACCUUAGGCUGAGCACCCUCCUUCACCUGACCAUCCAACAGGUUCCUUCUGGUGUGAGCCAAAGCUCUGGCUCUCCUGGCCCUGCCCUUCCUCAAGGCCCCGCCCUUCAAGGCCCCGCCCACUUCCCUGGCCCUGCAGCAGAGGCUCCGCCUGCAGUCUUCUGGUUGGCUCUGCCAUCUCCAUCCUAGGGGUGAGCUGCGGGGUGGUGGGUGGGGAGACACGCCCCUUUGCCUGGCCGCACAGCUCAGAGCCUAGGUGAGGCGUUUUUCUUUUUAGACAGAGGGCUUCUGCCUCAUUUUCGUUUUUUUAAAAACCUCCGUUAGCUGUGGUUUUUCUUUAAUACUUAGAUUUUAAUCGUUGAUUACUUCAAAUGGGCUUUGGAAUUAUUUAUUUUGCUUUUGAUGACUCUGUCUUCUGAUCUAAAGUAUUAAAUCCCUCGCUGUUUCGGGAUUUACAGCCUGGCUACUCUAAGUUCACAAAGCUUUUUCAUUAAAGGCUUCUCUCCUCUGCCAAUAUUUAUUGCUAGAGUCACUGUUUGCCCAGAAGCUAAUGUCUGCUGCAUCUUCUGGGAAAUGAAAUUUAUGUCUCCUGGCACUGAUGGGAGGGGUGACAUCACUGAAGUACUAAUUACAUCACCAAGGGGCAUAAACCUUGAGCUCAAGCCUCCAAUGGAUGGCAAAGGUGGGGAGUGGGAUCAAACAUGGGUUUACAUAAACAAACGGGUCUACCUCCCCCCCACCAUUCCUCUCACCACUUGUAUUGACAGUAUCAUUAUGCAAUUGAUGAGUAUCAGCAUUGACACCCUUUCUUAGAACAAGUAUGGAGGGGCUGGGGAGGGUGGUGUGGAGGGAUGGGCAGGAGUGGGAUGCCCAGGCUUCAUGCGGAGGGUGUCUGCUCAAAGAGCAACAACCGUGCCUUCCCUUUGUAGCAAGUCACCCUCGUACAAACCAUGUGACAUAAGAUAUGCUAUCCUCCACUGACAGGUGAGCUAACUAAGGGACAGGGACUCAGUUUUUCGAGCCCCUAGAUGAACUGGGGUUUGAGCCCAGCUUUUCUGACCCAAGGCUCUGUCCUCUGCACCCAUGAUCUCCUGAUUGGCAGCAUGUGCCUCGAUAAGGGUAGGUGGGGCUCUCAGCCCCAGCCUCUCUCCAUCUGUCCUAGCUGAAAGUUAUCUCCAGUCUCCAAGGCAAGCUGGCCCAGGAGAGAGAGAGACAGAAAAUGCUUGGGCAGUGGUUUGCUGGGGACAUGUAUCCUGCGCCCACUCUCUUCUCUCAUUCCCUAUUUAGCCAGUUUUCUCCCAGUGCGUCAUGUCUAUUUUCUCCAAGAAACAUUGGUGCCGUCUCCACUUUCUCACCUCCCAUUCGGUCUUCAGCCCGCUGCAUUCUCUUCCUCUCCCCUUCUCCUCUCUACACCCGAAUUGACCAAUCAUCUCCCAACUGCCCAGUUCAGUGCACAGUUUUGGGUUCAAGGCUGACGUCAAGGACAUGGAAUAAAGACAUUUGCAGAGGGACCCUGCACUCAAAAGAGUCCCAACCUUGGUUUAAUGCUCCACUGUUGCUGUCCUGAAAUUCUUUAUAAACUUUGAGUAGGGAUUCUUAAUUUGUCAUUUUGCACUGGAUCCUGCGAAUUAUGUAGCUGAUCCUGUCUGGGUCCUUUAAAAAACAUAAGGUCUGUAAUAGACAUCAUUCAUUGUCUACUCCACAUGCAUUCUUCCUCUUUCCCUCCAACAAAAUCCCUUUUUUUUUUUAAGUCAUUGGAGCCCCCUUGAUCACAGGCAGCGGCCCUUCCUCAGCUGCAGAGAAUGAGUCUAAUUAAAACACAAAAUAUUUCCAGCUUAAACUGGUUUUGUCCACUUAAAUAUGUUGUUGAUUAGUCAAACCUGGAGGUUUGUAGACACAGCAUGGCGCAUGUGCAAUAUGGGAACCCAUCCUUCCAGGACGACCCAGAACUGAGAGUUUUUGGUCUAUGGAACUGAGAAGAAUUGUUGCUACCAGUCCUUUCCGAAGUGAGCAGUCCUUAAAUGAGGAAAAUCUGGCUUCCAGAAGCACAAGUAGCUCAUAUGGACUAAUUUAAGAUUAGCCAAUCGGCUUCCAAGUUUGACAUUCUCCUAACCUCUUAAAAAUCCCUCCAACACUGCGUCGCAUAGAUAGGUUUGAGAGCUUUGCUUCGGUCUCUUUGUCCAGCCUCGUGAUAAAGUCCUUUUCUCAAAAGCUAGUACCAUAUUGGCUUCUAUGCACAUCAGGUGGCAAGCCAUUUGCUGGUUAAGAGAUGCUCAAGACUUUUGCUCAGGAAUAGAUGGAACAGUGACUCUGUGACCUAGAUCUCAUCAAAGAAAGGAAAGUAAAAGCUUCUUCUGGGAAAGUUGCGUUCCUGAAAAAAUAUGAACAGACUCAGCUGGACUGCUCCUUAACCUUUCACUUAUACUCCCUCCUUCUGCUAUGGAUGUGGACACAAUACCUGGAGGUGCAGCAGCCGUCUUGUGACACAAGAAGAGACUCCAACACAUUGUGAAUGGCAGAGAGAAAGGAGCUGGCUCUUUUUCUUUUUUACUUCCAAUUAACUGUUUUGUAAUUGCAGUGACUUCUCGGCAAUGUUUUACACAAAUUCUGUUUGCUCCACUUAUGACAUUCUUUGGCUUUCUUAGCGCCAUGUUGGCAGACUUUCUGAUUCCUUCUCAUGUUCCUCUCCUUAGCUGAGUCCUUGACGGUGGAGUUUGGCAGGAUUUAGUGGUUCAUUCUUUUGUCCAUUGUGGGCUAUUUUCUGAGUACUCUUGUGCUAAGGGCAGCAGAUGCAGCCAUGGAGAUAGAUGUGGUCCUUGCCUUCAUGAAGCUUCCAUUCUAGUCUAGCCCACUUCCCCAACUGCUGUCUACAACUACUGUCCACACUUCUGGAAAAUCUCAUUUACUUCCUCGGCUUUACCACGUGGGGCUGUUCUAUUCUGAUGCAAGACUUCACGCUGAGUUAUCCAGCUAAUCAACAGUCAACAGAUCUCCUAGAAAAAAAGAAGAAGAAGAAGCUGAACUGCUUUUGGUGAGUCAGUCAUGAGAGAAUUUUUUACUUCGUCUUCCCAGCCAAGAUAUAAAGAGCAGACAUAAAAGAGUUGGCCACCUUUUCUCAUACCUAAGCACCAACUUUAUUUUUCUGCAGCACUCACACGUGUUAGGGGAUUCUAGGGCAGUAAACUCCCCUGACAGAAUCCUGCCAUAUGUGGAGAUUUUCUUUUCUUUCCCAUAAAAGGUGUUGAAAGUUCCCAUCAGGUUUAACAGUUAUUGGACUCUCAGUACUGCCAGCCCCUCACCCCAGCACAGACUGCGACAGAAAAUGAGAGGCACUAGGAAGUGAAAAUGUGUCAGAUUCCCCCAGAUCACUAGGGAAGGAAGGCUGCUACUAUUGAUAAUAGCCUUUUAAAAAAAAAUGCUUCAUGUGGGAAAAGUUUAAAAUGAAAAAGCUAAGAAUAAAAUGGCAACACACUAAUUUAACUUAUGAGGAUGUUAGUGGGGGAUUUGACCUAAGGCUAUAGUUCAAGUGACAGAGGUCCAUAGAUACAGGUCGUUUAUUUUAAAAAUGGGGAAAACAUUAUUGGUUGCUAUCCGUGUAAUUCACUGCGUUCUUAAAGGAGAAACACUAUGUGAUCAUCUUGAUAGAUGCCUGAAAAGUACUUGUUAAACUCAAUGACCAUUCCUAAUAAAUAUACUUAGCCAGGAAUAAAAGGAAAGCCCUUAAUUUAUAAAGGAUAUAUAAAAACCCCACAACAGGGGAGUUCCUGCAGUGGCACAGUGGGUUAAUGAUCUGGCUUGUCUCUGUGGUAUUGCUGGUUUGAUCCCCAGCCUAGCACAGUGGGUUAAGGAUCCAGUGUUGCUACCGCUGUGGCACAGGUCACACAUGCCGCUCAGAUUUGAUCCCUGGCCCAGGAACUUCCAUAUGCCUUCCACGUGCCAUGGGUGCGGCCAAAAAAAACCCAACAAACAUUAUAUUGAACAAGGAAAGACAAAAACAAAAAAAAAAAAAAA
rnacentral:lncRNA from 1 species